rnacentral:rRNA from 1 species
CCUACGGGCGGCUGCAGUGAGGAAUAUUGGUCAAUGGACGAGAGUCUGAACCAGCCAAGUAGCGUGAAGGAUGACUGCCCUAUGGGUUGUAAACUUCUUUUAUAUGGGAAUAAAACGUUCCACGUGUGGGAUUUUGUAUGUACCAUAUGAAUAAGGAUCGGCUAACUCCGUGCCAGCAGCCGCGGUAAUACGGAGGAUCCGAGCGUUAUCCGGAUUUAUUGGGUUUAAAGGGAGCGUAGGUGGAUUGUUAAGUCAGUUGUGAAAGUUUGCGGCUCAACCGUAAAAUUGCAGUUGAAACUGGCAGUCUUGAGUACAGUAGAGGGGGGCGGAAUUCGUGGUGUAGCGGUGAAAUGCUUAGAUAUCACGAAGAACUCCGAUUGCGAAGGCAGUUCACUGGACUGCAACUGACACUGAGGCUCGAAAGUGUGGGUAUCAAACAGGAUUAGAUACCCGUGUAGUC